rnacentral:rRNA from 1 species
CCUACGGGUGGCAGCAGUGAGGAAUAUUGGUCAAUGGACGAGAGUCUGAACCAGCCAAGUAGCGUGAAGGAUGACUGCACUAUGGGUUGUAAACUUCUUUUAUAAAGGAAUAAAACGAGGCACGUGUGCCUUUUUGCAUGUACUUUAUGAAUAAGGAUCGGCUAACUCCGUGCCAGCAGCCGCGGUAAUACGGAGGAUCCGAGCGUUAUCCGGAUUUAUUGGGUUUAAAGGGAGCGUAGAUGGGUUGUUAAGUCAGUUGUGAAAGUUUGCGGCUCAACCGUAAAAUUGCAAUUGAUACUGGCAGUCUUGAGUACAGGUGAGGUAGGCGGAAUGCGUGGUGUAGCGGUGAAAUGCAUAGAUAUCACGCAGAACUCCGAUUGCGAAGGCAGCAUACCGGCGCGAAACUGACGCUCAUGCACGAAAGUGUGGGGAUCGAACAGGAUUAGAUACCCGUGUAGUC